AAGUCGUAACAAGGUUUCCGUAGGUGAACCUGCGGAAGGAUCAUUAACACGUUAUCCACGUAUUAUCCACACCACACUGAACGAUGCUCCCUGUUAGAAGACUUCAAGGAUAUCGGUGCUUGACUAUUGUGGGCGAAUCGAGCUUCGGCUUGGUGCGCACGUCAUGCUUGCUGGUUAGGUCGACCCCGGUGCCGAGGGCGAAUCCGAGACACUUUCUUUCAGGCUUAUUGAUUCUCUUGUCCGGCGGCGAAAGCCGAUCCCAACCACCUUGAGCGACGAGACGACACCAUACCCCUUUCACCGUAUUUUACUAAUUUGACUGAUUAUACAUUCUUCGGGAGAAAUCCUGUUGAAUUUCUAAGAUUUAUCUUAACUAAGCACAACUCUUAGCAAUGGAUAUCUUGGUUCUC
rnacentral:misc_RNA from 1 species